UUGAAAGGACUGAGCUUAGUAAAUGGAAAUAUUAACACACUUCUAAAGUUUGUUCAAUAGAGUCUCUUACAAGGAUAAGCUCUUCUGUGGUUGACACACACCUCCUGGGAAUUCAGUUACCACUCCUCAGCCCAAUAAAUGUGUGCAGGAGUUUCAAAUCCUGGAACUUUAAAAGCUUUUUUGGAUAGUUCUUGGAGGUAGAGGAGAAUGGACAAUGUAGCUUGGGAGCUAAAGAUGGCUAGGAAGAGUGAGAUUUUUAUGGUCCUGGAGCAAUGAAAAUCUCUGAAACUGAAAACUGGUUUGCCUGGAAAACGUUACCUGCCCAAUGCUUAAAUUUUCAGCACUUCAGGACUUUCACCAGUUCUUGUGAGAAAAUGUAGUGAAGAAUACAACAACCUAAAGGCAGAAAUGGUGACCAACAUUCAACUUCUUAGAAACUGAUAUUGACAAGAGACUUCAUGGUGAGUUGCUGGAGGCUGAGUGCCCCCAACUCUCUUCCUCCCUGCUUCUCAGCCUGCUCACUUCUUUCUCUACCUGGAAUUCAACAUGCAUGGAUUUACUCCACGAGUGGGUAGGUGAAGUGGAGGAACAGAAGCAACCAGAAAUGAAUAAUUAACCUGGCCAUUUCAAUUCCCACAUUGUUCAGCAUUUAAUAAUGUACCUUGUGACAGGAACCACUGGUUUUAUUAAUAGUUUACAUAUGGGUUCCAUGUGGGUGCUGAUCUUUCACAUUGUUAAAAUAGCUAACAUAUGUUUUUUCCCACAUCUUCUACAGGAUAUUGGUUUAGCAUUUUUUUAAAAAUGGCAAAAUCUGCUGGGCAGACUAUGAGCAUUUUGUUUAAUAGACUAAUUCACACAGUUUUAGUAGCUAAAUAAAUGAUGGCUUCUAUCUAAUCAGUAUUCAACCUGGGAUUUGGAUAGUGAAGUCGUCCACUGUAGAGUGCGGUGUCUAACACAGUGCUCUCAAAAAUAGAAUAAAUUGCAUAAUCAUCACAAAAAUUUUAAAUACCACAUCCUAGUCUAUUAUCCCUGUUCUCUUUCUGUCCAAUUUAUAUUACAAGCUUCUUCAGGCAGGGACUGUUUCUCAUGUUUUAUACAGCACUGAUCACACUGUGGGUACUUUUAGACAAUUGAGAGACAUGAGAGAAGUGUGAAGACUUCUAGUUGCACAGAAAUGUAAUAAGAGCAAACAUUAGGGGAUAGAGGGAAGUCAGUAAGAAGAUUGGAUGUUUCUAGGGAUUGGUAAUAGAGGCAUGAGAGCUCUUUGAUUUCUAGACUUCUAAUUCAACUCCAGAUGGGUAAAUGAGUGAAGGGUGUUACCAUUUCUAAUGGCUGUUCAAAAGCCACAUAAAAUAAAUUGGUAAUCUCAGUUCAGUUCCUCAUGAUUCUGUCUCUACACCAGAAAAAACACCAAGUCAAUUAGUACUAAUUUGCUCUUCCAUUGGUAGUUUCAGAAGAGCUCAACAAAUGGAUGGGCAUGGAGACUGAACUACCUUGUUAUUUUUGGUCAUAGUUUGUCUAGGUCAAGGUUGAGUCAAACUGUGGAACAUGGUGAGGAAGUCUGUCCUCCUGUAUCUGUUCUGUGUCUAAAGAAAGUAUAGUUCACCCUUUAAACUGUAAAUCCAGCAUCUUUUGCCAGUACCACAUUCAUUCCUUUUUUAAAAAAGAAAAACUGCUUGAGUUCUAUCCAGAACUAAAUGUACUAGAGAAGCAAUUUUAUUCCCUUAUAAAAAGGACAUUCUUAGAAUAUAUUCUAAGAAUGUAAGCAGUGCAGGAGGUGAACAAUAUCCAAAACAUUGUAUAAAGCAGUUACAAAACAUUAUUUUGGCCAGAAUCCAGGUAAAAAAUCUGUUAGCUAUUCCAAAAUGAUAUGAACAUCGUCUCAUAACUGACUUUAGAGAACAGAAUUGAGAAUAUGCUUAGGGCUGGGAGAUGGAUAAUUUUAUCCAGUAUGUCAUGACCAAAUUUUGAGGACAGCAUGUACGUGUCUGUGGGGGAGAAACCUUCUCUGAGACAGCUCAAUUUAAAAUGACCUCAUCUAGAAGAAAUCCAAGUACCAUAUGUUCAACUGGCCUGAAUUCAGUUCAGUAAGGGUUUUCAAAUGCAAAUAUUUUUGAGAAUCAACCUUAGCGUAAAAUGGCUGCAAGAAAAAUCUCCUUCUAUGUCUUGUUUUGUUCGUGAUAAUUUUUAAUCUGCUCCAGACAGUUGUUGAGAUCCAAAACACAAUAGCCUUAGGCUGAAAAGAGACAAAUAUAAUAUUAUAACAGCAAUUUACUGUCCCUCGGCCAAUUGCACACUAUCUAAACUGAGACAGGAAGCAGGGGAUGGAGAAGGAUCAAGAUACCUGUGCUUUUUAUAUGCCGGUAAAACAGAAAAAAACACAAACUUUCCUGGAAUAUAGAGGUUUUAUAACAUUGUGACUUUCAACAUAUGCAAUCUAGACAUGACAUACAUCACUUUACACCAGUUAUAGUGAAUGAUAUAUUUUUCAUUAGUAAAUUGUGGCCAUAAAUGCAGCUACUGAUUAACAGCAAUGGUAAAUGAAGUGUUAAUCCCCAGCCCAAAAGACAUUUUGGAUUGGGGGAUUAACACUUUAUUUACCAUUGCUCUUUGUUUCUCACCCUAUUGCCAACAUUUAAAAAAAAAAAGGGGGGUGGGGAGGGGGGAGCUUUGUUUAAAACUAAUGCUCCUAAUGAGCCUCCUCCCCAAAAAAACAUUUAAUACUGAACUAAGAUGUGCUGUUAUUUAAGAAAAUAGGUGCAGCCAUUUCAGGGAAGCCAUGCUUAGUUACUCUCCUGAGGCUAUGGCCUUAAGUGUUCUUGAUGAUUCAGUACAUGGUAUUCCACUCUAACGGCCUGAUCCAAAGCCCAUUGACAUUUGUCUUUCCACCAGGUACUUUCAAAAAACUUCAGCUACUCUCAUCCCUUUAAAAAAAAAAAAUACUAGUGUGUGCUCAUACCCUAAAAACACAUACUCAGAUUUUAUACUACAAUCUGCAAGGGCCUGGAAUAGUAAAGAAAUACUUUCCCCAGUUUUGCUCUUAACACUGACAUUCACCUGCACCCCUUUUGGUGGUGUGAUUGAGCCUAUACAUUUACUCUAAUUGGGAGCUCAACCAUAAAAAGUUGACACAAUACCCUAGAAUAACAAAUGUUGAUAAAGGGAAAAGCAUGAAAGAGAGACUGAAGUAGUCCAAACAACAAGGCCUACUGGUAUAACUCGGAGCAUGUUAAGAUCAUACUUUGGUAAACAAGAAAAGUCUAGAACCAAAAUAAGAAAUCCAAAAUUGGUGUGUCAGAAACUACAACUAAUUUUGUGCACAAAAUAAUGAGGGGAUGGGCAGCCCCCACACUACCACUAAUUAAAGAAAAAUUGGCUAUUGAAGCAAGCGUCAUGAUCAUGGCUGCCACCCCCAACCAAUUCCUGGGACCCCAGGCCUGCAUCAUCAUUAUCCUGAGAGAUGCCCUGACCAGGCCAGAGAGAAGGACCCAGCUGAUACUGACGCCUCUACCAGCUCUCACUAAAUCUCAAACACCACCUGGGAUGAAAUAAAAUUGGACUUUUGGAUUGGGAUUUCCUUCAAAAAACUCUCUCCCACUAAAGGGAAAGGAAACAAGGAUGUUGUUAAAUCUUUUAUUUAAAUAAUUUACAUU